rnacentral:rRNA from 1 species
AUUGAACGCUGGCGGAAUGCUUUACACAUGCAAGUCGAACGGCAGCACGGGGCAACCUGGUGGCGAGUGGCGAACGGGUGAGUAAUAUAUCGGAACGUGCCCAAUCGUGGGGGAUAACGUAGCGAAAGUUACGCUAAUACCGCAUACGAUCUACGGAUGAAAGCGGGGGAUCGCAAGACCUCGCGCGAAUGGAGCGGCCGAUAUCAGAUUAGGUAGUUGGUGGGGUAAAGGCUCACCAAGCCAACGAUCUGUAGCUGGUCUGAGAGGACGACCAGCCACACUGGAACUGAGACACGGUCCAGACUCCUACGGGAGGCAGCAGUGGGGAAUUUUGGACAAUGGGCGCAAGCCUGAUCCAGCCAUUCCGCGUGCAGGAUGAAGGCCUCGGUUGUAACUGCUUUGUACGGUAACGAAACGGUACUGCCCUAAUACGGCGGGCUAAUGACGGUACCGUAAGAAUAAGACACCGGCUAACUACGUGCCAGCAGCCGCGGUAA